rnacentral:lncRNA from 1 species
CCUCAUCUCCUGCUUCUUUCUUGCCAUCAGAACCUCCUUCCGCAACCCACUCACCAGUUGGCUCGAAAUGCCUUUCCUCUAUGUCUACAUAUUCUCCCAGUGGACCUGCCUCGAUUUUUGCUAUUGGGCCAUAUGCUCAUGAACCUCAACUGGUAUCUCCACCUGUAUUCUCUACAUUCACCACUGAACCAUCAACUGCUCCGUUUACCCCUCCACCUGAGUCAGUCCACUUGACUACACCCUCAUCGCCUGAGGUACCAUUUGCUAAGCUUCUUGACCCCAAUCACCAAAAUGUUGAUGCUGGUAAUAGAUUUCCUUUUGCUCAGUAUGAAUUUCAAUCAUAUCAACUUCAACCAGG